rnacentral:rRNA from 1 species
CGCUUGAGAGAACUCAGGAGAAGGAACUCGGCAAAUUGACACCGUAACUUCGGAAGAAGGUGUGCCUUUAGUAGGUGAACCUGUACAAGGGGAGCCCAAUGAGGUUGCAAAAAAUCGGUGGCUGCGACUGUUUAAUAAAAACACAGCACUCUGCAAACACGAAAGUGGACGUAUAGGGUGUGACGCCUGCCCGGUGCUGGAAGAUUAAAUGAUGGGGUGCAAGCUCUUGAUUGAAGUCCCAGUAAACGGCGGCCGUAACGAUAACGGUCCUAAGGUAGCGAAAUUCCUUGUCGGGUAAGUUCCGACCUGCACGAAUGGCGUAACGAUGGCCACACUGUCUCCUCCUGAGACUCAGCGAAGUUGAAAUGUUUGUGAUGAUGCAAUCUCCCCGCGGAAAGACGGAAAGACCCCAUGAACCUUUACUGUAGCUUUGUAUUGGACUUUGAACAGAUCUGUGUAGGAUAGGUGGGAGGCUUUGAAGUGUGGUCGCUAGAUCGCAUGGAGCCAACGUUGAAAUACCACCCUGGUGUGUUUGAGGUUCUAACCUAGGCCCGUAAUCCGGGUCGGGGACAGUGCAUGGUAGGCAGUUUGACUGGGGCGGUCUCCUCCCAAAGCGUAACGGAGGAGUUCGAAGGUACGCUAGGUACGGUCGGACAUCGUGCUAAUAGUGCAAUGGCAUAAGCGUGCUUAACUGCGAGACUGACAAGUCGAGCAGAUGCGAAAGCAGGACAUAGUGAUCCGGUGGUUCUGUAUGGAAGGGCCAUCGCUCAACGGAUAAAAGGUACUCUGGGGAUAACAGGCUGAUACCGCCCAAGAGUUCAUAUCGACGGCGGUGUUUGGCACCUCGAUGUCGGCUCAUCUCAUCCUGGGGCUGUAGCCGGUCCCAAGGGUAUGGCUGUUCGCCAUUUAAAGAGGUACGUGAGCUGGGUUUAAAACGUCGUGAGACAGUUUGGUCCCUAUCUUCCGUGGGCGCUGCAGAUUUGAGGAAGCCUGCUCCUAGUACGAGAGGACCGGAGUGGACACACCUCUGGUGUAUCGGUUGUCACGCCAGUGGCAUUGCCGAGUAGCUAUGUGUGGAAGAGAUAACCGCUGAAAGCAUCUAAGCGGGAAACUCGUUUCAAGAUGAGAUCUGCCGGGGCCUUGAGCCCCCUAAAGAGUCGUUCAAGACCAGGACGUUGAUAGGUCGGGUGUGGAAGCGCAGUAAUGCGUUAAGCUAACCGAUACUAAUUGCUCGUGCGGCUUGACCG